UACGAAGGGGGCUAGCGUUGCUCGGAAUCACUGGGCGUAAAGGGCGCGUAGGCGGGAAGCCAAGUCGGUCGUGAAAUCUCCGGGCUCAACCCGGAGGAGUCGGCCGAAACUGGUUUCUUGAGGGAGGCAGAGGAGUCUGGAAUUCCCGGUGUAGCGGUGAAAUGUGUAGAGAUCGGGAGGAACACCGGUGGCGAAGGCGGGACUCUGGGCCUACCCUGGACGCGUGAGGCGCGAAGGCGUGGGGAG
rnacentral:rRNA from 1 species